GAUGAACGCUGGCGGCGUGCCUAAUACAUGCCAGUCGAGCGAACAGAUGAGGAGCUUGCUCCUCUGACGUUAGCGGCGGACGGGUGAGUAACACGUGGAUAACCUACCUAUAAGACUGGGAUAACUUCGGGAAACCGGAGCUAAUACCGGAUAAUAUAUUGAACCGCAUGGUUCAAUAGUGAAAGACGGUUUUGCUGUCACUUAUAGAUGGAUCCGCGCCGCAUUAGCUAGUUGGUAAGUUAACGGCUUACCAAGGCAACGAUGCGUAGCCGACCUGAGAGGGUGAUCGGCCACACUGGAACUGAGACACGGUCCAGACUCCUACGGGAGGCAGCAGUAGGGAAUCUUCCGCAAUGGGCGAAAGCUUGACGGAGCAACGCCGCGUGAGUGAUGAAGGUCUUCGGAUCGUAAAACUCUGUUAUUAGGGAAGAACAAAUGUGUAAGUAACUAUGCACGUCUUGACGGUACCUAAUCAGAAAGCCACGGCUAACUACGUG
rnacentral:rRNA from 1 species